GUCUAGCCCUGAUAGAAGCGGAAAUCCUUUUUUGAAUAAAUCUAUUUUUUCCUGAACGGGCAGAGCGACCAGAGGAAGCUCCUGACAGUUCUUGGAAAAAAAGAUUUAAGAGAAAAAGAUUGUAGUGGAUAGCAGGAAAUAGC
rnacentral:sRNA from 1 species